UACGUAGGGGGCGAGCGUUGUCCGGAGUUACUGGGCGUAAAGGGCACGCAGGCGGUGCGGCGCGUUUCGCGUGACAGCGGAGGGCUUAACUCUCCGAGGAUGCGAAAGACGGCGGUACUUGAGGGCCAGAGAGGGACACGGAAUUCCGGGUGGAGUGGUGAAAUGCGUAGAGGUCCGGAGGAACACCGAAGGCGAAGGCAGUGCCCUGGCUGGUGACUGACGCUGAGGUGCGAAAGCUAGGGGAGCGAACGGG
rnacentral:rRNA from 1 species